AGCAGCCGCGGUAAUUCCAGCUCCAAUAGCGUAUAUUAAAGUUGCUGCAGUUAAAAAGCUCGUAGUUGAAUUUCGGGACUAAUAUGUCGGUCGUGCCUCGGUACGUACUGGCUUAUUGGUUUCUCCUUUCUGAAGAACCAUGAUGUCAUUUAUUUGGUGUCUUGGGGAAUCAGGACUGUUACUUUGAAAAAAUUAGAGUGUUUAAAGCAGGCUCACGCUUGAAUACAUUAGCAUGGAAUAAUGAAAUAGGACGUUUGAUUCUAUUUUGUUGGUUUCUAGGAUCGACGUAAUGAUUAAUAGGGAUAGUUGGGGGCAUUAGUAUUCAAUUGUCAGAGGUGAAAUUCUUGGAUUUAUUGAAGACUAACUACUGCGAAAGCAUUUGCCAAGGAUGUUUUCAUUAAUCAAGAACGAAAGUUAGGGGAUCGAAGACGAUCAGAUACCGUCGUAGUCUUAACCAUAAACUAUGCCGACUAGGGAUCGGAUGAUGUUAAUUUUUUAAUGACUCAUUCGGCGCCUUACG
rnacentral:rRNA from 1 species